AAUGAACGCUGGCGGCGUGCGUAACACAUGCAAGUCGAACGAGAAAUUCCGGGCUUGCUCGGGAGAGUAAAGUGGCGAACGGGUGAGUAACGCGUGGGUAACCUGCCCUUGAAUCUGGAAUAACUUCGCGAAAGCGAGGCUAAUACCGGAUAUUGUCCAGGGACCGUGGGUCUUGGGAUGAAAGAUGACCUCUUCACGAAAGUUGUCGUUCAGGGAGGGGCCCGCGUACAAUUCGCUAGUUGGGAGGGUAAUGGCCUACCAAGGCGAUGAUGGUUAGCUGGUCUGAGAGGAUGACCAGCCACACUGGCACUGAAACACGGGCCAGACUCCUACGGGAGGCAGCAGUGAGGAAUUUUGCGCAAUAGGGGAAACCCUGACGCAGCAACGCCGCGUGAGUGAAGAAGGCCCUCGGGUCGUAAAGCUCUGUCAAGUGGGAAAAAAGCUUACUGGUGAACAGCCAGGAAGACUGAUGGUACCAUUGAAGGAAGCACCGGCUAACUCCGUGCCAGCCGCCGCGGUAAUAC
rnacentral:rRNA from 1 species